GACGAACGCUGGCGGCGUGCUUAACACAUGCAAGUCGAGCGGUAAGGCCCUUUCGGGGGUACACGAGCGGCGAACGGGUGAGUAACACGUGGGUGACCUGCCCUCAGCUCUGGGAUAAGCCUGGGAAACCGGGUCUAAUACUGGAUAUGACUCCAUGACGCAUGUUGUGGGGUGGAAAGCCUUGUGCGGCUGAGGAUGGGCCCGCGGCCUAUCAGCUUGUUGGUGGGGUGANGGCCUACCAAGGCGACGACGGGUAGCCGGCCUGAGAGGGCGACCGGCCACACGUGGGACUGAGACACGGCCCAGACUCCGUACGGGAGGCAGCAGGUGGGGAAUCUUGCGCAAGUGGGACGAAAGCCUGACGCAGCGACGCCGCGUGAGGGAU
rnacentral:rRNA from 1 species